rnacentral:pre_miRNA from 1 species
AAUAGAUGACGCCGUUGACUUUUUCUCAUAUGUUUGACCAUUCGUCUUAUUCAAAAAAUUUAAAUAAUUAUAAUUUAUUUUAUUAUGAGUUGUUUUAUCACUCAUAGUACUUUAAAUGUGAUUUAUAUCUUAUACAUUUGCAUAAAAAUUUUAAAUAAAACGAAUGGUCAAACAUGUGAGAAAAAGUCAAUGGCGUCAUCUAUU